rnacentral:lncRNA from 1 species
GUAAAAUGACAAGCAUAUGCCUGAACUCAAAAAAGUGAUGUCAUCUUAACUACUGAGAAGUGGGCGGGGAGUACUCGAGGCUUUUUAAUGGUUGUUCUUAAGUACAUUAAAUGCCUCCCUUUUCUGUCUUCAGCUCAUCACCAAUCCUAAGGAAUUCAAGUGCCUCCCAGGAUGAAUACAGGUUGUCUUGAUGGUGAUACAUUCAUCUGUCUUAAGAUCCCUGCUGAUCUGCUCAUGGUCAAACUCCUGGAAAGAGUUGAGAGUGGUGAGUACUUGUAACCUUGGUUAUAACUUGUCUCCAGUGCCAGUGAGGAGAGCAAGCAUCCUGUCUUAACCCCUGUCCUAGCCCCAGAGCCAGUAAUGGUGAACCCACUGGGGCUAACAGGGAGAGAGGAUGAAAACAUGUUCCGUAAGGAACUGUCUGAGGUACAGCAACUGCCAAUGGGUAGCAUUUGUUUAGCUUCCCUUGGCUUACAUAUUAGCUGGGAUCCUUUUGGUUUUUUAAGGUACUCUACUGAUUUCAUGAUCUUCUCAUUCAGGGGUACCUUGUUCCUGCAUCCUCAAAGGAGCAUCUUGUUCCUCCAUUUAAGCUUCCAGAGUUAAAAGGUUAGUUGAUUAAUGUCACCAUAAUAUAUGCCACCAAGUAAGCAGUUUCUGUGAUGAAUCAAACUAGCUCACUAUGAACUAACAAUGAAAAGAUAUGAACACCUGAGAAACUGGAGAACAGAGCAGUGGGAUACUGUCUGCAAGGAACUUAAUAUCACUUACAGUUUUGUCCUUUCCUAGGUACCUGUACCAUUUAGCGGCUUGUUCACUCAAAGGUGAGUGAUUUAUAUGUUGGCACAUACAGUGUACUGAGGGAGAAAAUGCCUUUUUAGGCAUCUACACAUGAUGACUUACAUGGAAUCUCGUUCGGCUGAUGAUUUGCUGUUGAGACUCGGAAAUCUGAUUUUUUUUUUCUUUUAAGAACUUAAGUGGGAACAAAUUUUAAUGUAGGAAGUAAGCAUUACUGACUCAUUCUUGUUUUGUUUUAGAUCCAUCUUGUCUGGAGCCUGAGGAUGACUGGAGGUAAAUCUGUUUAUCUAUGGCUGCUAUGUAAAGUUUGCCAGUUUUUGUGUGGCACUUUGGAUAGUUGUGCAGGUAUUACUUAAUCCAAAGUCUGCCUUUGGCCAUUUGUGAACCACCUGAAACAGAUUUCUGCUCACAUGAUGAGUUUGAUACCGCCCCAGUCUGAUCACUAUGACUGAAAGGUAUUUUCUGAGCUGUGAGUUUGCCUUAGAGUGGGAAGUUAGUCUUUUUAUAAAAUGUCUGUUGAGACCUACACAGCCUAUUAGGGUGUCCCAUUCCUUUGGUAAUGUGUUGACUUAGUUCCCAAUCUCUGUUUUGCAGGUGAAAGGUGUAAGCCAUACUCUGCUCAACUCCAGUCUGAAACUGAGGUUAAAAGAACACGUACUUAACACACGGGUAAGUAAGUAUCCAUUCACGUACUUGUGUUAAAUAUCAGACUAACUAUAUAAAUACAAAAGUACAUUAGAGCAGCGCUUUUAGUGUUAACUGGUUGAAAGGAUAGUAUGUUCUAAGUCCGUUUUAGUAACUAAGUCCGUUUUAGUAAGAACCCUAAACUGUUCUUUUUCUCUGCAGGAAUCCAACUCUUGGAGGACAUCAGAAGUGGAAUUUUCUUAUACAACCUACCUAUUCAAAUUAGCAUAUAAUCUUUCUAGCCUUUCUAAAUAAAUAAAGGGAUUUUUUUGUAAA